rnacentral:misc_RNA from 1 species
GAUGAAGAACGUAGCGAAAUGCGAUAAGUAAUGUGAAUUGCAGAAUUCAGUGAAUCAUCGAAUCUUUGAACGCACAUUGCGCCCGCCAGUAUUCUGGCGAGCAUGCCUGUUCGAGCGUCAUUUCAACCAUCAAGCCCCAGGCUUGUGUUGGAGCCCUGCGGCUGCCGCAGCCUCCCAAAACCAGUGGCGGGCUCGCUAUCACACCGAGUGCAGUAGUUUACUCUUCGCUCAGGGCGUGUGGCGGGUGCUAGCCGUGAAACCCCCAACUUCUCAAGGUUGACCUCGGAUCAGGUAGGAAUACCCGCUGAACUUUAGCAUAUCAAUAAGCGGAGGA